CCACAAUCCCAUUUGUCCAGAAAACAAAGUAAUGGCGACGACGACGAGUUGUUCGCUUCUCCUUUCUACUCUCUUCCUUCACCACUCUCCUCCUUCACCUCAACUCUCCAACUCAUCUUCCUUCUUCAAUCUCUCUCCUUCUCUAUCUUCUCCUCCGACUUCGAUUUCUCUCUACCCUAUCCGAUCCAAACGCUAUUUCCGAAUUUUCUCCUCCAAGCUUCCACUAAACGACAACAGCGGAGACGAUGAUGCUCUUCUUCUUACUCCCUUCUCCGCCGUGAAACCUUUCUUCCUCCUCUGCACCUCCGUCGCGUUGUCUUUUUCUCUGUUCGCCGCGUCUCCUGCCGUCGAAUCCGCUUCGGCGUUUGUAGUCAGUACUCCCAGGAAGCUUCAGACUGAUGAGCUCGCGACUGUUCGAUUGUUUCAAGAGAACACUCCUUCCGUUGUUUACAUCACUAAUCUCGCCGUCAGGCAGGACGCGUUUACAUUGGACGUGCUUGAGGUUCCUCAAGGUUCUGGUUCAGGAUUUGUGUGGGAUAAGCAAGGUCACAUUGUUACUAAUUAUCAUGUGAUUCGUGGUGCUUCUGAUCUCAGGGUUACUCUUGCUGAUCAGUCAACAUUUGAUGCAAAAGUUGUUGGAUUUGACCAAGACAAGGAUGUUGCAGUUCUACGUAUUGAUGCACCGAAAGAUAAGUUAAGACCUAUACCUGUUGGAGUCUCUGCUGAUCUGCUUGUUGGCCAGAAAGUUUUUGCCAUCGGAAAUCCUUUUGGACUUGAUCAUACUCUUACAACUGGUGUUAUAAGUGGUUUGCGAAGAGAAAUUAGUUCUGCUGCAACUGGUCGUCCAAUUCAAGAUGUGAUACAGACAGAUGCAGCCAUUAACCCUGGUAACAGUGGAGGACCUCUUCUAGAUAGUUCAGGAACCCUAAUAGGUAUAAACACAGCCAUUUAUUCUCCUUCUGGUGCAUCUUCUGGAGUGGGCUUUUCGAUCCCAGUUGACACCGUUGGAGGCAUUGUCGAUCAGUUGGUGAGAUUUGGUAAAGUCACGAGACCAAUCUUAGGUAUCAAAUUCGCACCAGACCAAUCUGUUGAACAAUUGGGAGUAAGUGGCGUGCUCGUCUUGGAUGCUCCUCCAAGUGGCCCAGCUGGGAAAGCCGGACUUCAAUCUACGAAACGUGAUGGUUACGGGAGACUAGUACUUGGAGACAUAAUCACGUCAGUGAAUGGUACAAAAGUCUCUAACGGGAGUGAUCUGUACCGGAUUCUCGAUCAAUGCAAAGUCGGUGAUGAGGUGACCGUAGAGGUUCUAAGAGGCGAUCACAAGGAGAAAAUAUCUGUAACUCUCGAACCAAAGCCGGACGAGUCUUAGAAACGUCGUUAAGAAUGGUGGUGAUGAGAAUUUCGUAGUGUCGUGAAGAAGCAUUUUCUCCAUGACUUAGCUGAUAUGGGACUUUGGACUUCAACACUGAAAAACAAAUUAAUUAAUGAGAAUGGUUCUAUAGUAAAUAUUGGGGAGAUACCUGAUCACUUGAAGGCGAUUUACAAAUAUAGCUUCCAGUUAUUUUGUGUGUUUGAGUCACUACUGUCUAGACAUAUAGAUUUAACUUGUUUCUUCUAAAAGCCAACACAGAACUAUCUGGGAAAUCAAACAAAGAACAGUGGUGGACAUCGCUGUUGGUCGUGGAUGCUACAUAGAUCAAAGCCAAAGCUUAAACAUACACUUGGAAAAACCAACAUAUGAGAAACUAACUCACCUACACAUAUAUGGUUGGAGACAGGGUUUGAAGGCUGGGAUGUACCGCCUGCGUUCAUGCAUGCCCGCUGGAUGAUGGUUUUCUCCUCGACACACCCUGAUCACAAGAGGUUAAAAUCGUUCUUCUAAAUCUUGCUUAGUUUCUGAUACGCGUUCCUAUUAUUUCAUUCUCUUGACUUAGAGUAGUUUUUUUUUUUUCAUUUUUUUUUUCACAAGAGUUCUUACUUUAUUACAAAUUAGGCCACUACGAAGAAGCCUACAGUGGAAGAAUCCACUUUACUUUUAUUUUUAAAAAAGAGAAGCAAACUAUUACAAUAGCGGAAGAAACUCUAUGUAGAGUUUUGAUAUCAAACAAACUUGUUUUAUUCACAUUCAUAAGAAGAGUAUUUAUACAGGAGACACACCAUAAACGAUAAGCUCUAUUGAUGAAACCAGUUUUUCGUUUGGCUUGGAGAGCGUUGAGCAUCUCCGUUGCCCACUCAUUGUAGUUAUCAUCGGUUUACAAAAUAGAUGAGAUCAUAGCCUCGGGGUUGUCGGAACUAGACAAAGUAUAAGGAGACACCACCGGUGCAUCUGGUAGCUGUACUUCAGACCCAGAUUUGAGAGCGGAAGCACUACUUUCUUCUUCG